rnacentral:tRNA from 1 species
GCCUGGGUGGCUCAGUCGGCUGAGCGUCCAACUUAUGCUCGGGUCAUGAUCUCACAGUUUGUGGGUUUGAGCCCCGCCUCGGGCU